ACUCUGGAUACCACCUGCUGUGGAAUGACGGAGUGGCGGAAGCAGACAUCCAGCGAUAGUUAGAUUUCCUGACGUUGACAUCCAAGCAAGAAAGGCGUGUACCUGAGGACCUGCCCGUGGUAGAAGUCUCAGCUUUUCUCAGAGACAGACGGAAUCUUGCUCUUGUCACCUAGGCUGGAGUGCAAUGGCAUGAUCUCAGCUCACUGCAACCUCCACCUCCCAAGUUCAAGCGAUUCUCCUGCCUCAGCCUCCUGAGUCGCUGGGAUUACAGGCGCCCACCACCACGCCCGGCUAAUUUGUGCAUUUUUAGUAGAGACGGGGUUUUGCCAUGUUGGCCAGGCUGGCCUUGAACUCCUGACCUUGUGAUCCACCCAUCUCAGCCUCCCAAAGUGCUGGGAUUACAGGUGUAAGCCACCACACCUGGCCUUGAAACCAACUUUCAAAAUGUGGUCCUUUUGCAGUACAGCUGGGAUGCCUCUGCCUUCCCCACUUCCCCGCCAUGCACCUGUGUAAAGGGGCAGCUUCUGUCUCACAGGUGUAACAGAUUUCUUCCCUUCUCCCCUUUCUCUUCUGUCAAUGAGUCGUGGGUGGCUGUCGGCUGGAGACCGCUCUCAGUGUCUCAUGCACUGAAUGCAACAUGGACACAAACUGAUGAUAGGGCCAGAUGGGGGACAGCAAGAAGUGAGCACCGGAAAUUGCAUGAGCUAGGAGUCACCGCCUGGUAGUGGGUGAGGGACACGUGAUAGGGACAGUUUAGCAGCUGGAUCAGGGUGGAAAAGCGAACCUUGACAGCUGAGCAGUGACACAGACCUGCUUCUGUGGGGACAAGUGUCCACUGGCCCUGGCCAGGCUGGCCUCCAGGGGGCAUUAUUGGAAUAUGCGAUCACCCCAAAACACUUCAGCUUGAAGAAGAUCUAGGACACAGUUUGUUGUUACCACCUCAGAGCAUUUAGAUGGGACAUGAUGGGUGGAAUUGAAGCUAAAAACCCAUCCACCAUUUCUAGUUAGUACAGUAAGCUUCUAAUUUACAGAAAUGCUUGGGAAAUUGAGAAUCAUGAUAAAAUCCUCAUCCCUCCUCCUCUUUUGACCAAAUCUUACUAAAAUGCAUAAUUAUAAUUUCUUAUCUUUUAGUACAUAGUAAUUACGUUAUAUGUGGUAUAUACGCUACGUAAAUAUAGUUCAUGAAAUCAUUCUUUGGUGUUUGAAGACUUUCUAAUUCAUUACUUCAUUCCAGACAUCAGUGACAACAGCACGCACGGAACAGGUGCACGUAUGAGCUACCUACUAAUACGCCCUGGAUUUUGAUUGUAUUUUGUGAAAACCUUGGUAUGGGUUAUUUUUAAAUGAAUGCUUUCCCAAAUUUGAUGCUGAAACUGGGAUGCAUCAAAAUUAGCUUGGUCAUAAUCUUGUCAGUGAUGUCAUCCAGAGGCCACCAGAAACACACCUGUAGCCCAGCAAAGUUGAGGCCAUCGACUGGCUGAUCACAGCAAGGAAGGCUGUGCACCACCGGGAGCCAGCAGCAGCUCAGCAGCAGCAGUGAGAGGGCCUUGGGAAAGACUUGGAGGGUUUGCCUUAUAUGAGGUGAUCUUGGGGAGAGUCAAGGAAACAGGUUGUGAUGGAUACUAUUGAGUGUCAACUUGGUUGGAUUGAAGGAUGCAAAGGAUUGUUCCUGGGUGUGCCUGUAAGAGUGUUGCCAAAGGAGAUUAACAUUUGAGUCAGUGGACUGGCAGAGGCAGACUCACCCUUAAACUGGGUGGGCACCAUCUAAUCAGCCGCCACAGCAGCUAAAAUAAAGCAGGCAGAAGAAGUUGGAAUGAGCAGACUUGCUGAGUCUUCCAGCCUUCAUCUUUCUCCCAUGCUGGAUGCUUCCUGCCCUUGAACAUCAGACUCCAGGUCCUUUUCAGCUUUUGGACUCUUGGAUUUACACCAGUGGUUUGCCAGGGGCUCCCAGGCCUUUAGCCACAGACUGAAGGCUGCACUGUCAGCCUCUCUACCUUUGAAGUUUGGGACUCAGACUGGCUUCUUGGCUCCUCAGCUUGCAGUCGGCCUAUUGUGAGACUUCCCCUUGUGAUCAUGUGAGCCAGCUCUCCUAAUAAACUCCCCUUCAUAU
rnacentral:lncRNA from 1 species